rnacentral:lncRNA from 1 species
GAUUGACUGUGGGGGUUUCUGCCCCCCGGAAGCCAGCUUUUUCGGGGCUCCGGGGCUCGCCGGUUCUUCCAAAGAGAAAAAGGACAAAAGGCCGGCGUCCAUGUUGGCAUCAUGACGCAGCAUCUCUCUCCCGCCUGCAGCCCGGCGCUGCUCGUCCUCCGGGCCGCGCUCGCUCCUCCCUCCCAAACACGAGUUUUAUUUUCAGGUUUUUGAACCGAGCCGAGGGCUGGGUCGGGUUGGAGCCAAGGCUGAAGCCUCCCGGCCGUUCAAUACUGCUCUCUGGCUAAUGGCGGCCGGCUUUCCUCCUUCCUUCCGCCAUCCUGCUUUUCCCCGGUUGUCGCUGGGAGCCGAGGCAGCCCCGGGCCCUAAGAGCCUGCCAGGUCUUGGCCGGAGACCGGAGCAAUGUCUGUGUUAUCCCCCACUGUAGACAAUCGUUGCUUCCUCUGGACAUCUGGAGCAGGCCCAAUUUGACCGACAGCCUUCCCCGCUAAGAAGUGAAUUCUCCCCUUGGCAAACUGCAGCCAGCCAGCCUCCUGGGUCGAGAGCCAAAAGAUGACUGCGAGAAGAAACCUGGGGUCCUGCAAAGGUAAGUGGGUCCCAGCCCACACCAAAUCUCCCUCUCAAUCUCCCUCUCUUUG